GAUUGAACGCUGGCGGCAUGCCUUCCCCAUGCAAGUCGAACGGUAACAGGUCUUCGGAUGCUGACGAGUGGCGAACGGGUGAGUAAUACAUCGGAACGUGCCCGAUCGUGGGGGAUAACGGAGCGAAAGCUUUGCUAAUACCGCAUACGAUCUACGGAUGAAAGCAGGGGACCGCAAGGCCUUGCGCGGACGGAGCGGCCGAUGGCAGAUUAGGUAGUUGGUGGGAUAAAAGCUUACCAAGCCGACGAUCUGUAGCUGGUCUGAGAGGACGACCAGCCACACUGGGACUGAGACACGGCCCAGACUCCUACGGGAGGCAGCAGUGGGGAAUUUUGGACAAUGGGCGAAAGCCUGAUCCAGCCAUGCCGCGUGCAGGAUGAAGGCCUUCGGGUUGUAAACUGCUUUUGUACGGAACGAAAAGACUCUUUCUAAUAAAGAGGGUCCAUGACGGUACCGUAAGAAUAAGCACCGGCUAACUACGUG
rnacentral:rRNA from 1 species